rnacentral:lncRNA from 1 species
GACGUGCAUGGUAAAAUGGAAGAACUUUUGAGUGGAAUCCGAGGCCGGCCAUGUGUGGAGGGCCUUCUUCCUUGCCUUGCCAUCCUCCUCGGGGCCCUUUGUGGGAACCAAACCCAGCCCUUUUGGGGGAGAAGCGGCACCCAUUACGGAAACCUGGAGACAUUUAUGAGAGUUGCAAAACUUAUCCGAAAGCCAUAGAGCAGUCGUUCCCAACCUUUAAGAGACUGUGGACCACAGAGGCAAAAAUUGGGUACAUUGUGGACUUUUGAGCUCAAUCAACCCAUCUUCCUGCCACUGCACACAAAGAAAUUAAAUGAGUUAUUAUUAUUUUGUGAUAUACAGAUAAAACACCAUAAUGAGACUUAGAAAAAUUAAUGAUUUUUGCACAUGUAUUUCUUUCAUUAGGUGGGGAAAGCUUGGAUUGAUACUAUUGCUCAAUGCCACAUGCAUGUCAUGGUAUUGAGUAAUAGUAGACUGGCUCUUGAUCAGGGCCGUAGCCAGAAAAAAAAUUCGGGGAGGGUUUUGAAAAUUUGGGGGGGGGGGUUGAACCCCUAAACCCCCCCCCCCAAGCUACAAACCUGUCAAUAUCUGCUUGAGAUAGUGCCAGGAGGGACUCUUAAUUUUUUGCAUCUCAUAGACUUAGCAUGGGGAUUUGGUUAACCAGUUAAAAUUCAUGAGUAAACCAGGUUCAACAGGCCUGCUCUUGAUAGUAGUAGACUCUCAGACUGGCUCUUCAAACCUGAGUACUAACAGGAGCCCAGGCUCCUGUUAGUACUAGGACUUUAAGAGCCAAUAUGGGAGAAUGGGCUCCUAAAAUUCCUCUUCUGCUGGCCCAGCCUCCUUUUCCCUCCCAACGAUGACCCAGUGAUGAAGCUUCCCUUGGACCAUGCCUUUACUGACCUGCUGGCUUUGGCGGCCUCCUCCUCCUUGCAGUUCAGACUGCAAAUGGGGCUUCCUUCCUUGCCUCAAAAGCA